rnacentral:rRNA from 1 species
GACGAACGCUGGCGGCGUGCUUAACACAUGCAAGUCGAACGGAAAGGCCCUGCUUUUGUGGGGUGCUCGAGUGGCGAACGGGUGAGUAACACGUGAGUAACCUGCCCUUGACUUUGGGAUAACUUCAGGAAACUGGGGCUAAUACCGGAUAGGAGCUCCUGCUGCAUGGUGGGGGUUGGAAAGUUUCGGCGGUUGGGGAUGGACUCGCGGCUUAUCAGCUUGUUGGUGGGGUAGUGGCUUACCAAGGCUUUGACGGGUAGCCGGCCUGAGAGGGUGACCGACCACAUUGGGACUGAGAUACGGCCCAGACUCCUACGGGAGGCAGCAGUGGGGAAUAUUGCACAAUGGGCGGAAGCCUGAUGCAGCAACGCCGCGUGCGGGAUGACGGUCUUCGGGUUGUAAACCGCUUUCGCCUGUGACGAAGCGUGAGUGACGGUAAUGGGUAAAGAAGCACCGGCUAACUACGUG